GGCGCUCGCUUUAAUUUGAAAACGCUGACAGUUGGUCCCACAGGCAGUCGUCUGGAGUCUACCCAGCCCGUCUGUGCGGCGGAGCCAGGGCUGAGCAUUCUGGGGUCGUGAGGACACAGCCUGGGCACCGCCUCCCCUCGGGACUGUUCCUUCCCUGAAAUCAGCCUGGAGGCCCGGAGGGACGGGGCGGAGGAGGGGAUAUUCCGCGAAACUAGUUGGGGAAAACAUGGACAUUACCCGCAUCCAAAUUGGAAGAAUCUAGUCUGACCCCUUCGCUUCAAAGAAGGGGAAACUGAGGCCCAGAUACCGUGGCCGCCUAUUGGGGCAGAAAGGGCCCGGAUUUCCAGUGCCCGCGUGGACUCCGAUCCGUGGCACGGCCGUGGGCGAGUCCUUUUCCUUCUCUUGGCCUCGGUUUACCCACGUGUAAGUGGGUGCGCGGACUUGUUCUUCAAGGCGGCCCCACUACCGCAGGAGUCUAUGAUCUACCGCCGGGGAUACCCAGAGAGCCGCCCCAGCCACUGCGUCCUCUGCCUCGGUGGGGCACUUUAGGCCUGGGGCAUUUCCCACCCCACCAGGGUACUACUGGCAGCGUGCACUGCCCCGGAAGGUCGUCACCCGGGCUGUCCCGGCCGGGUGCUCGGGAUGCUCGGGGCUGGCGAGUGCAGCAGGCGGGCGAAAGGGUGAGAGAGAGAAAGAAGAAAGAAGUAAGGACAGAACAGGAAGGCGGAGUGAAGAUGAGGGAGCGUGAGAAAACGGAGGAAGAGAGACCGGGAGAGCAGCGCAAAGAGCAGGCAAAAGCAGAAAAACAGGGAAAGAGAGAAGCGGGGAGGGGGGAACCCACGGAAAGGGCCGGCUGUCCCCCGCCUGCUCCGGGUCUCCCGGACCUCCAUCACCCCUCAGAGCGCACAACUUGGAAACAAAGCCGGGGCUCCGGGGCUGGGGGGAGGCGGGGACGCAGGCCCGGAGCGCAGGGCCGCGGCCUGGGUGCUCCCGGGUCUCGGGCCACCCAGCCCACCCGCCUCCAUCCUCCCAGCGCCCCGCCACUUACUUCUUGUCCAUCCCGGCUCCCACGCUGCCCGCGGCCGGAGCAUAGGCAGCGCAAGCGUCAGCAGGCAGAGCCGGGCGGCGCCCGCGCCCCCGGGCAUGGUAGCGGCGACCCCUCGCGCGCUCAGCGCUCACACGCCCGCAGCCAUGCCCACCCUGCAGCACCGCGCCGUCUGGAACCCACCACCGCUCACCCUGCGCCUCCCCGUUUUCUCCCAGCCCUCCACCACGACGCCACGCCCCCAGCCCCGCGGGGCUUCGCCAGGGGUGGAGGAGGGGACCAGCCUGGGGAGGAGCCGGCGAGACCCCUGGGAAGCCGCGCAAGCUCAGAUGGAGAAGCUGAUAAUCAGAGAGAAGUGACUUACCUAAGACUCUUUAGCAAGUUUUGGCAAAGACUGGUUCUAGAACCCAAGCCUCCAGACCUCCUAUCAUCUAUUCCUGUCAUUGAACUUUUAUGUCAAACCUAGGUUUGCCCAGUUUCUAAACAGGAUGCUGUGUGUUGGGAGGACAAGACACUCCUGAAGAUGAUGAAUAUGUCUGACAAAGUCAGUGACUAUUAUUGAAGGAAAUAAAAGAUGUGGUUCUUGGCCAUUGGUGCAUUUAGGGGUUGUAGCCUAAGAGCCAUGAAAGACUAGAAUUCUAGUCCAGCUGUCUCUCCAACUAGCUCUGUGGCUUUGGGUAAAUCACUUCUCCUCUCUGGGCCUCAGUUUCUGAUAAAUGACCUGGGGCUAAGAAUGGCUGCCCUUAAACAAUGUGACCCCGGAGCUGUGAGGAGCUGUUGAGAGAAUGGCUGUGAAAGUACCCUACCAAGUGAAAAAUGCUGAGGGGCCAAGCCUAAUUGAUUCGAAGGACAGAUCUACUUGCAAAAGGCAUACAAACUCCAUACUUGAAAUUGGCUUCCAUUUGCUGACACGCUGUCAUCAGUAUUUAAUGAGCACGCAGCCCUGAAAAUUGGGAGGUAGUUCACAGGAGUUAAUGUCCAGUGGGUAAUGCACUGACAAAAGAGUCAGAAAGUCUCCAGUUCUGUCUCUCUUCCCCUGCAUCCACACUUAUACACAGAACAAACGUGUACAACUUCUGACCCCCUGGAAGCCUUUCCGUUUAUUUGUAAAGAAUGCGUUUGUUAUUUAUAAAAAAUACCACCUCAACAAAAUCUUUCAAAUACCUAUGACAUUUAGCCUAGUAAUUACAUUGCUGGGAAACUAACCAAAGAAAAUAAUCUGCAGUGCACAUAAAGAUUUAUGGACUAGGAUGUUCAUUGCAGAGUUAUUUAUAAUAGUGAAAAAUUGGAAACAACCUAAAUAUCCAACUGUGAAGGAACCAUUAAUAAAUUAUACACUAUCCAUAUGAUGGAUUAUUGUGCAGUCAUUUAAAGUGAUGUUUACAAAGAGUUUAUGUCUGAUGUUAAAUGUAAAAAGCAGGAACCAAAAUUACAUUUUGCAGUAUGAUGUCAGCUAUGUAAAUAAAAGACAUUUUUAAAAGACUGGAAGGAAAUGUGCCAAAAUGUUAGCAGUAAAUACCUCUAGAUGAUGAAAUUUGUAUGAAUUUUUUUUUUAUUAUUAUUAUUAUCUUUGCCUCUUCCAUUUUCUACAAUAACGGGAGGCCAGUAAACGGUAAACACAGGAAAGGAAUACAAAAGGAAGAAUGUUUUAUCCUGUUGUUAUUCCCAGAGAGUUUUGCAUAUUUGGCCUCCUUAUAGAUGGUUGACUGUCUUGUCCGAUAUUGGAAAACCUGAGCCAGAGUUAGAGCAACCAGAUCCAAAACUCAGAAUCCAUCCAGGUGACACAGGUUACUGUUUCUCCCUAGCUACAGGACGCUGUAUGGUAUGGAGGUGGCCAUCCUACCAGAGUUUAAAUCCCUUUUCUAUCCUUUAUCAGCUGUGGAAACUUGGGCAAAUCAACCUUGUUGCCUCAUCUAUAAAAGGGUGAAAAUCAUGAUAGUUCCUAGCUCAUAGGAUUACUGCAAAUGGGUUAAUGCAUAUAAAGUAGUUAGAAUAGCACUUCCCACAUAGUAAGCAGUCAAUAAGUGUUAACUAUUAUUACCCAACUCCUACAGCUAAUAAGUACAGAGAUGGGGCAGUAUUCAUGAUACUUAGUUUGUGCUUUUAGUGAUAUAAUAUGUGAAGUGUCUAAUUAUAUACUGAUUCUUUAUUUUCCAAAAUAACAAUCACAUUAUAUUGUUAUUGUUAUCUUUUUCUUCCCUUUCUCCCUUUUGCUACAUUGUGAGCCCCUUGAGAAUAGGAGCUGGCCCUUGUUCUUCUUUCCCCAGCAUUUUGAAGACACAAUAAAUGUUUAGUUAACUAAACUGUAAAUUAAAUAAUUAAUAAUAAUUAUCUCACUCUGGCUCAGCAGGGCACAAACUUCUAAGCUGCUCAUAGAAGUACUGUCUUUCAUGUCCCCUACUAUGGAAGUAAUGUUAGCUGUGUGAUAAUUUUGCUUUGUAAAUCAUUUUCCCAGCAACUAGCUAUUUUUUUUUUUCAAGUUUGGGUAAUUCAGGUAUAAUUUACAUAUAUUAAAAUUCUCCAUUUUUUAGUACACAGUUUAUGAGUUUUAGCAAAUACAUACAGUCAGAUAACCACUACCAUAAGCAAGAUCACCCCUAAAAUGUUCCUUCUGCCCCUUUGUGGUCAACCCCUCCUCUUACCCUCAACCCCAGGCAACUACAGAUCUGUUUUCUGUCCUUGUAGUUUUGCCUUUCCCAGGAUGUCACAUGAAUGGAAUCAUACAGGAUGUAGAUGUAGCCUUCUGAGUCUGGCUUCUUUUACUUAGCAUAAUGCAUUUAAGAUUGAUCCAAGAUUGUCACAAGUAUCAGGAGCUCCUUUCUUGCAUCUCUGCCUCCUGUCACAUGGACAUCUCUCUCUCCUUUUGUCUGUUCUUCCGCUGAGAAGUAUGGAUGAACCACAUUGGGUAGCUGUCCCACAGUUCGUUUACCCAUUCAUCAAUUGAAGGAUAUCUGGGUAUUUCCGGUUUUUGAUGAUUGUGAAUAGUCACUAGAAAUGUUUAUGUACAAGUUUUUGUGGGAGCAUAAAUUUUCAUUUCUCUAGGGUAAAUAGGAGUAGAAUUGCUAGAUCUUGUGGUUAAUUUAAGAAUAUGUUUAACUUGAUAAGACAUUGCAAAAAGUAUUUUCCAAAGUGUCUGAACCAAUUUUGCAUUCCUAGCAGCAAUGUAUGAGAGUUCCAGUCAUUCCUUGUGGUAGAUGGAAUUAUGGACCUCAACAAGACAUGUUCUUAAUCUUAAUCUGCAUUCUUGUGGGUGUGAUCUCAUGUGUAAACAGGAGCUUUUGAAGAUGUUAUUUCUAGUUACGGUGUGGCCCAGUUGAAUGAGUGUGGGUAAAUCUUAAUCUGUAUUAUUGGAGUCUGUUAUAAGUGGAAAAAAUUUGGACAUGGCCAGUCAGAGAAAGCCACGGAGAAGAGCCAGAGGCUGACAGUCAGCGGAAACCUGAAGAACAGACAAAAGGAGAAAGAUGCAAGUUAAUGAACCCCAAGGAUUGUGGCAAGUCAGAAUGCUACAGAGCUCAGGGUUGUGGAUAAUAAUAAUAAUCGUUAUCAUGUAUUGAGUGCCUCAACUGAUGCCAAGCACCAUGCCUAUAUUAUUUCAUAAAAUGCCCCAUUGCAAUCCCAUGCAGAGACAAUAUUAGGUCAAACCAUAUGGAAUUUCCGAUUUUGUAGGUCAGAAAGGAUCACACAUUGGCAAUGUCAUAUUAACCUAAUAAUAACAGUUACAACUGAUUGAACAAGGCUUGCAGUGUGCCCAGUGCUUUAUCUCAUUUCAUCCUGAGGACAACCCUCUGUGGUGGCUUCUGUUGAUAUCCUACUUUACAGCUGAGGUAGCUGAGGCUGGAGGUGGCCAUAGAAGAGUAACUUGCACAUAUUCAUCCAGAAGCUUCCAGGUUGGAGACAAAUCCUGAUUCAAACCAAACUGCAGGUAUCUUCAAGGCCACUAAGCUACCCCGAUAAAAACACGGAUGAGCAAACUGAGGCUGGGAGAAGUGAAGUGACUGGCCUGCGGUGGCUGUGGGCUCCACUGUGCCCAAGGUUUGCGGGGCAUCCUUGCUCCUAACUCCCAUGCCAGCCAAAUCGCUUUUUCCUUCAUCCUUUCAUUGUCACUCCAGAAAAUGGACUGAAUUCAGGCUGUCCUCAGAAGCACUUACAUCCGGGUUGUGCUCCUGCAGCUGGCAGAUCAGCCAGGAAAAGGUGUCUAUACCUCUUUGCUUCCAUCUGACCCCAAAAGAAAUAUUUUUAACAGAGAUAAUGAUGUAGAAUGCAUCAUAGAGGCCAGCUUCCGGCAGCUGCUUCCCUUCCACAGCUACCAGCCAUCCUCCCCAGGCAUUUUUUCCUGUCAUGAUAAAGCCUGCAGGCCACCUCAUUGGGAUUCAGAGAUGAUGCCAACCUUUUCCAGAACUGGGCAGUUUGCUGAGACAAUUCACAUGAAUUAUCUUAUUUGAUCUUUUCAAAAAGCCCUGUGAGCUGGGUUUUAGUGAUCCCAUCUCACGGAGGAGGGAAUUGGUAUUCUAGGAAGUGAAGCGACUUCCUCAAGCUCAAACAACCAGAAUACAAAUACCAAGGGAAAGAAGAAAAAGGUGUAGUAAAGGUAAAACCCUAGUGUGGGUGUUUUAUUCCAUGGGGAAUGGGGUCAGGGCAGAUCUUGGCAAUAACAUUUUACGCUCUUAGAAGACCUUAAGGGACUUCUGGGAAGGUGAAUUCUUUAGUUAGCUAAAUGCAAAGCACUGUGACCAUGCCUGGAAACAAAGAGGCAUCUAGGUGACAGCCUCUGCCUUCUAAGAAGAGUGUCCCUAGCCGGGGUGUGGUCCACAGAGUAGCAGCGCUGGAAUCACAUGGGUAUGUGUUUUAGAAUUGCAGAAUCUCAAGCCCCACCCGAGAUCUCCUGAAUCAGAAGCUGCCUUUUAACAAGAUUCCCAGGUAUUUGUUUCCAAGUAAAAGUUUGAAAAGCACUGUUAGGAGAUAGCCAGUAAAACUUGAUUUUAUGUGCAGCAAGAGGAAACAAGUGUUUUUCUGGAAUGGAAGUGUGUGAGUUUCCUACAGCUGCCAUAAUAAAUUACCACAAACUGUGUGGCUUAUAAUAAAAGAAAUGUAUUUCUUUCACAAUUCUGGAAGGUAAAAGUUCAAAAUCCAGGUUCUUGGGAGAAAACUUCCUAAGCCUCCGGUGGUUUGGCAAUCCUCAGGAUUCCCUGGCUUGUAGCUGCGUGACUCCAAUCGCUGCUUCCAUCUACACAUGGUCAUGCUGUCUCUAUCUCGUUGUGUUUUUUCCUCUUCUUAUAAGGACACCAGUCAUAUUGGAUUUGGGGCCCACCCACUAAGAUGGGCCCCACAGCCAGUAUGAUCUCAUCUUAACUAAUUACAUGUACAAAGACCCUAUUUCCAAAUAAGGUCACCUUCUGAGGUUCCAAGUGGACAUGAUUUUGGUGGGACAUUAUUAAACUCAGUACAGGAAGCCAGGGGUUAAGGAAAACCAGAAAAACGAGAGAGGUGGUAUAAAUGGAUUGCAAAAGUCUUCAUGAGGGAGGGGGUUUUUCUCUGAGCCUUGAAGGAAGGAAGUUCACAGGACAAAAGGCACAGAGAUGAGAAAUGUUCACAGUAUUUGGGGAAAAGCAAAUAGUGAUUAGAGGGAGAUAGUGGCAGAUAAAGCUAAGAAGAAUAGGAGUGAAUGGGCAAGAACUUUUUCUGUAAAAUGAAGAAGGCAGGUGAGCUUACACGGGCCACAGGUCAUGAGACAAAAUUGGCUAACCUCGAGUUUCAAAAUCAUUUGGAUUACUUGUGUCAAAAAAUAAUUUUUAAAAUGUCCAAAAUAUAAAUUAUCAUGCAAAUGUAUAGUAAGCAUUUGUUCAAAGUCUUAUUUAAUUAAUGUGAGAACCAGCAAGAUGACAAAGCUGGUUCAAAAGAGGUUAGGGGAAACCAGAAAAUCAGAGAGAAGGAAUCCUAAAAUAAAUUUGCUAAGUUAAAUCCAGAACAGGGCAAUGAAACCACAUUCCUUGGGGUUAUCUUCUCUACCAGAUAGUAAUCAUUUCCAGCUCUAUUGGGAAAGAAAAAAAAAAAAAAAGACUCACUGGCAUUUUAUUGGUUUUCUAC